rnacentral:rRNA from 1 species
AGUGAACGCUGGCGGUAGGCCUAACACAUGCAAGUCGAACGGCAGCACAGAGGAGCUUGCUCCUUGGGUGGCGAGUGGCGGACGGGUGAGGAAUACAUCGGAAUCUACUCUGUCGUGGGGGAUAACGUAGGGAAACUUACGCUAAUACCGCAUACGACCUACGGGUGAAAGCAGGGGAUCUUCGGACCUUGCGCGAUUGAAUGAGCCGAUGUCGGAUUAGCUAGUUGGCGGGGUAAAGGCCCACCAAGGCGACGAUCCGUAGCUGGUCUGAGAGGAUGAUCAGCCACACUGGAACUAAGACACGGUCCAGACUCCUACGGGAGUCAGCAGUGGGGAAUAUUGGACAAUGGGCGCAAGCCUGAUCCAGCCGUACCGCGUGGGUGAAGAAGGCCUUCGGGUUGUAAAGCCCUUUUGUUGGGAAAGAAAUCCAUCUGGUUAAUACCCGGGUGGGAUGACGGUACCCAAAGAAUAAGCACCGGCUAACUUCGUGCCAGCAGCCGCCGUAA